GCCAGUGUGGCUUAGUGGUUUGAGUGUUGGACAGCAACUCUGGAUGCCAGGGUUUGAUUCCCAGCUCAGCCA